GCCGGCUUAGCUCAGCGGUAGAGCAGCGCAUUCGUAAUGCGCAGGCCCAGGGUUCAAAUCCCCGAGCCGGCUCCA
rnacentral:tRNA from 1 species